CCUACGGGGGACAGCAGUCGAGAAUCAUUCACAAUGGGGGAAACCCUGAUGGUGCGACGCCGCGUGGGGGAAUGAAGGUCUUCGGAUUGUAAACCCCUGUCAUGUGGGAGCAAAUUAAAAAGAUAGUACCACAAGAGGAAGAGACGGCUAACUCUGUGCCAGCAGCCGCGGUAAUACAGAGGUCUCAAGCGUUGUUCGGAAUCACUGGGCGUAAGGCGUGCGUAGGCUGUUUCGUAAGUCGUGUGUGAAAGGCGCGGGCUCAACCCGCGGACGGCACAUGAUACUGCGAGACUAGAGUAAUGGAGGGGGAACCGGAAUUCUCGGUGUAGCAGUGAAAUGCGUAGAUAGCGAGAGGAACACGCGUGGCGAAGGCGGGUUCCUGGACAUUAACUGACGCUGAGGCACGAAGGCCAGGGGAGCGAAAGGGAUUAGAUACCCCAGUAGUC
rnacentral:rRNA from 1 species